rnacentral:rRNA from 1 species
AGUGAACGCUGGCGGUAGGCCUAACACAUGCAAGUCGAACGGCAGCACAGUAAGAGCUUGCCCUUACGGGUGGCGAGUGGCGGACGGGUGAGGAAUACAUCGGAAUCUACUUUUUCGUGGGGGAUAACGUAGGGAAACUUACGCUAAUACCGCAUACGACCUACGGGUGAAAGCAGGGGAUCUUCGGACCUUGCGCGGUUGAAUGAGCCGAUGUCGGAUUAGCUAGUUGGCGGGGUAAAGGCCCACCAAGGCGACGAUCCGUAGCUGGUCUGAGAGGAUGAUCAGCCACACUGGAACUGAGACACGGUCCAGACUCCUACGGGAGGCAGCAGUGGGGAAUAUUGGACAAUGGGCGCAAGCCUGAUCCAGCCAUACCGCGUGGGUGAAGAAGGCCUUCGGGUUGUAAAGCCCUUUUGUUGGGAAAGAAAAGCAGCAGGUUAAUACCCCGCUGUUCUGACGGUACCCAAAGAAUAAGCACCGGCUAACUUCGUG